AAUAAUGUUCUUUUUUAGCAACGUCAUAUGACCCCUUUAAUGAAUCAUGGAGGACAAAGAAACAUUCAGCGAUGGAGAGUUUUCUCCAGGAUGCAGUCGGAUACCAAAAACACUGGAUUCCAAACGUGUGUCCAUGAACAGUGACCGUUCUAAAGACAACAUACUAACAUUUGAAGAAAAACACAUAUCAACAGAUCUGAGUCAAUUGCACAGGCAGAGAUCAAACUCACUGACGCACAGCUGUGUGUCCAUGAAGAGUGAAGCAUCUAUGGAAAGUGACUCUCAACUGGCCGAAAGCACAAUCAGAUCAAAUCUGGUGAAGAAGUUUGAGUGUCUGUAUGAAGGAACAUCAAAGCAGGGAAACCCAACUCUCCUGANUUCGGAAAUUUUAUUACAAAAUUCCUACAUAUUGGAGCUUUAACUCCAAAUUAAGUUUGAGUUCUGCAAAGAAAAAAGGGAAAUCAAUGGUUUAAAUAAAUUAUGAACAUGUAAUCA
ensembl:lncRNA